rnacentral:tRNA from 1 species
AGUCCUGAGGUAAUACGCCAAAAUGCAAAUUUGGAGAAGCACCAUAAAGGUGCCGGGGCUU